GUAUAUUUACUAGUAUUAACAGUGCACUAUUUCUUUUUGUCCAUAGCUCCAGGAAGACCUGUCCUGCUACCGGAGACCCCUCACAUCUUCACAGGGCUCAUCCUAGCUAUUAAUGCAGCUUUUAUGAAACUGGUCUGAGAUCUGCUAACAUGAAAUAUUGUAUCGACAUUCAAAGAUCCUUACUUUCCAAGACCCCUGCUUUCGAGACUCCUGCAUUCAGGGACACUUGCACUGUGAUACAGGGUAGCAGUGGGGUUGUUGUUGUUGCGCUGCGGAUAAGUAAAUAUGUAAAACAGAGUCCAAUGGUGGAGUAUAUUUAACUAUUCACUGACUGGAAUAAAUGUAGAAUGGAACUCACAUAUAAUAGAGCUUCUAACCAGCUCUAGGUUACAGUGCAUGGGAGGAACAAUCCCUGCCUGGGAUAUAAAGAGGUCUUCUUGUUCUUGGUAUGAAUCCACAGCAAAACAUGUAAUGGGAACGUUCAGUCAGGUAUAAUCAGCAGAAUAUGUAAAUACAAAAACACAAGCUCUUUGUAGACAACAGCCAUGAGUUGUAUAAAAGAAAGCUACUGUCAGGAUGUUUUAUACAGAUUGUCUCACUCGGUUUAAAGAAAUAAAAAAUCUUCUUUUAACAAAACACUUCAGAAAAUACAAUUACUUGAAUUUUAAUGAGGUAUUCAAAUUCUAAUUUAUUUGGUGGUUUAUAACAGGGAUGUGAAGGUUGAUCAGUGUAGAACAUCCAG